rnacentral:rRNA from 1 species
AGAGUUUGAUCCUGGCUCAGAACGAACGCUGGCGGCAGGCCUAACACAUGCAAGUCGAGCGCGCCUUCGGGUGAGCGGCGGACGGGUUAGUAACGCGUGGGAACGUGCCCUUUUCUACGGAAUAGCCUCUGGAAACGGAGAGUAAUACCGUAUACGCCCUUUGGGGGAAAGAUUUAUCGGAGAAGGAUCGGCCCGCGUUAGAUUAGGUAGUUGGUGGGGUAACGGCCUACCAAGCCUACGAUCUAUAGCUGGUUUUAGAGGAUGAUCAGCAACACUGGGACUGAGACACGGCCCAGACUCCUACGGGAGGCAGCAGUGGGGAAUCUUAGACAAUGGGGGCAACCCUGAUCUAGCCAUGCCGCGUGAGUGAUGAAGGCCUUAGGGUCGUAAAGCUCUUUCGCCUGUGAUGAUAAUGACAGUAGCAGGUAAAGAAACCCCGGCUAACUCCGUGCCAGCAGCCGCGGUAAUACGGAGGGGGUUAGCGUUGUUCGGAAUUACUGGGCGUAAAGCGCGCGUAGGCGGAUUAGAAAGUUGGGGGUGAAAUCCCGAGGCUCAACCUCGGAACUGCCUUCAAAACUGCUAGUCUAGAGUUCGAGAGAGGUGAGUGGAAUUCCGAGUGUAGAGGUGAAAUUCGUAGAUAUUCGGAGGAACACCAGUGGCGAAGGCGGCUCACUGGCUCGAUACUGACGCUGAGGUGCGAAAGUGUGGGGAGCAAACAGGAUUAGAUACCCUGGUAGUCCACACCGUAAACGAUGAAUGCCAGUCGUCGGAUAGUAUACUACUCGGUGACACACCUAACGGAUUAAGCAUUCCGCCUGGGGAGUACGGUCGCAAGAUUAAAACUUAAAGGAAUUGACGG